CGGAAACGACUAUACUCGGUUAAUGAUGAGGCGGGGGAACAAAUUUUCGUUUGCCUCCAACACUUGGUCAGUUUCCCACGCGACUAUACUCGGUUAAUUUUCUCUCUCAAACCCUAAACGCCCGACUACACUUCGUUUGCCUCCUCUUCCUCAUCCUCCUCCUCCGACCAGCACCCAACUGCUCUCUGCCUCAGCCUCCGCCUCCGCCUCCGCUAUCCUCCUCCUCCUCUUCCUUUGGCACACUUGUUCUCUCAUCUCUCUUCUCCAAUUCACCAGAUCAGCUAAAGACGCAGUCCACGCCGGAGCUCCGCCUUGCCCCUCCUCCUUCUCUUUUCUCCUUCCACCCCGACGCGUAUCGGGCUCGUGGUCAACUGAUCUUGCUCUUGGAAACUUGGUUCGCUUCAGAAAUUUUCAAGCUCGGAUACAAGAGUAUGUUGAAGCUACAAGCUUCUGUCAAUUUUGGAGUGGGUUUUUGGGAGAGAAGGGGCUUUUGGAUGGCCCGGUUUUGCAGCUUUAACAACUUCAAGAUGAGAGCAACCCAGAUUUUGUUGUGGAAGUGGUGUCUCUGUUCUUUGAUGAUUCUGAGAAGCUUCUCAAUUAUAUCACCAGAAUGUGGAAGUAAUUUGGGAUUAAUUUGUCAGAUUGGAGAUAUUGUUAAAAGCAAGACGGCGAGCAUUGCGGCGCCGUAGUUCGCGACAGCAAAAACGUCAAGGUACCCGGUCUCAUUAGUGGAUAGCCACACCAUUGCCCAGAACAUAAGAUGAGCCCUUGUCAAAUUGAACUGUGGUAACACCUAAAUCGCAUCUAUAGUCUUGUAUUUCCCUUCAAUAUGAUUUAAUUGGUUAUUUCUAAAUUUCAAUUGUUUAUUUUUCUUCUCAACCGGGACGCAAAUUGAAAACCCAGUUAACUAAUGUGUUUUGUUUUGAUUUAUUUAGAGUGUUCAAUGAUGGUUCUGAUUAUAUCGGGCAUAAGUUCUCUAAAUUUUUACUUUCUGUUUUGGUUCUUCUUAUAAUUAACCCCUUUUGUGUUCUUGUUAUGCUUACACCUUCAAAGGACACGAACUAGAGAGUCAAUAGACAGCUACAAAAUAACAUAAGCAAGGAGCAUUUAAAUUUGUAAAUGGCUCAGCAACCUCUUGGGACAAACCGAGUCAACAAAUUGAUGAAGGAAAAUUUUCUGCUGACAAGCUUGGUUUCAUAUUGCUGGGAAAAGUUUAGGUGGAUAUUGCCAUGAAAUAGAAGCCCUGUUAUUUGGCCGAUAAGCUAGCAGCCUAGCACUUGCAGUUCCGAGAUAUCUUGCAAGCUUUGGAUACUGCUUUGGAGAAGAAUAGAUUAGUUUAGUUAUAUAGACUUUUUCUUUCUCAGUAGGAUGUGUUUAUAGUGGAAAAGUACAAUAUAGAAUUAUGCUCUUUCCUUCUCUAACUGCUGCUAAGAAUAUCUCAGUACUCAUUAUAUGCUUCCUUGUGCCCUCAGGCUUGGAUUUACGGCCAGCAGAGGAAUGUCUCGGCUCAGUUGCUGCAUCUCUUUUUCCAUGACUGCUUCAUUGAGAUUAUAAUUCCUUUUUGCAGAGGAUUGGGCAAGUACUCAUGCAUUGGAUACUUGAUUCGGAGCCCAGCUCAAGUCUCGGUUCUCUAUUCCUUUUUGCUGAUACCAAUUUACUUUAUUCUGAUCUCUACUUGUGCAGAGAGCAUAAUCAAGGUGGAGGAUGGGAAUAAUGAUCUGCCAAUAUUUGAUUGUAAUCCCAGCUUGAUCAACUUCCAAACAGAGAGGAUAAGCACUUUAUCUUCCUUCAUCAACAGAAUCUUCCUUGUAGUUUGUCCGCCAAACAAAGACAGUACGAGCUGAAAUGAGUGAAGAACUGUUGACUGGCUUGAGUGAAGAACAUCAAUUGCCACAGAACCAGUGACUGUUCUGUGACGGCUAGACUCCCCAACACAAGAUGAUGACCCUUAGGUACUCUUUUUUUUUUUUGUGUGUGCAAAUUUCAAAUUUCAGAUAUGUAAUUGUAAUUCAGGAUUGUCAAAGUCCUCAAACUAUGUAUCUAUUGCAGAAUAAAAUCAUCCCAUUAUACAUGUACAACUGAAUUGAUGCUUGAAGCUCUAAUUUUGUAUAGAAAUUAAUGCAAUUUCCCAAUAUUUGAAUUUCA